GACCGCUCCGGUGGCAUAGUAGUUAGAGCAUUUGCCUCGGAUGCCGGAGGUCGAGGGUUCGAACCCCGUCUGAGUCA